rnacentral:rRNA from 1 species
AUUGAACGCUGGCGGCAUGCCUUACACAUGCAAGUCGAACGGCAGCACGGGGCAACCUGGUGGCGAGUGGCGAACGGGUGAGUAAUAUAUCGGAACGUACCUUUCAGUGGGGGAUAACGUAGCGAAAGUUACGCUAAUACCGCAUAUUCUGUGAGCAGGAAAGCAGGGGAUCUUCGGACCUUGCGCUGAUUGAGCGGCCGAUAUCAGAUUAGGUAGUUGGUGGGGUAAAGGCCUACCAAGCCUACGAUCUGUAGCGGGUCUGAGAGGAUGAUCCGCCACACUGGGACUGAGACACGGCCCAGACUCCUACGGGAGGCAGCAGUGGGGAAUUUUGGACAAUGGGGGCAACCCUGAUCCAGCCAUGCCGCGUGAGUGAAGAAGGCCUUCGGGUUGUAAAGCUCUUUCGGCCGGGAAGAAAUCGCGCAGGAUAAUACCCUGUGUGGAUGACGGUACCGGAAUAAGAAGCACCGGCUAACUACGUGCCAGCCGCCGCAGUAAUAC